AUGAAGCCUCGAAAUAGCUUGAAAAUACUUAUAUUGAUGGUAUUCAGCUUUUGUUUGUUGGUUCCAUCGAAACAAGCCGAACAAAUCGGAAACGCAAGUCUUUGCGAAUUUGAUAUUAUGAAUGCAGAUGGUGUAAAACAAACAUUUGAAGAUUUCACCAAAAUUGACAAGGUGUGGCUUAUUUUCUUUGAUAUAACUUUAUACCCUGAUACAUUCAGUAACAAAUCCGGACUUGACACAACACAUAUGAAUGGUUUAACAAGGUGGAUUUGGGUUUCUCGAAAACAUUCAAAUCUUAUUACACAUCCAGUGGACUUUGAUGUUAUAACAUUCCAAC
rnacentral:lncRNA from 1 species